rnacentral:rRNA from 1 species
UACGAAGGGGGCUAGCGUUGCUCGGAAUCACUGGGCGUAAAGCGCACGUAGGCGGAUCUUUAAGUCAGGGGUGAAAUCCUGGAGCUCAACUCCAGAACUGCCUUUGAUACUGGGGAUCUCGAGUCCGGAAGAGGUGAGUGGAACUCCGAGUGUAGAGGUGAAAUUCGUAGAUAUUCGGAAGAAUACCAGUGGCGAAGGCGGCUCACUGGUCCGGUACUGACGCUGAGGUGCGAAAGCGUGGGGAGCAAACAGG